UUCUUAAUCCCGCUCCUGCUGAAUUUCUUACCAUUACUGCCUGCUCACGCAAACAUUAUAAUAUUGCAUCGUAAUUUUCGCGCAUCAGGGAGCCGCUAUCAGUAUGCAGAGUAUUUAAAUCUCUUAUGAAUGAGCGCUCGCUGUUUACUUCCACUUUCGAUUUGUCGAUCACGCGCACUCUGUGUAAAGGAAGCACAUCUUAUAAGAUCAGACAUCUGUCAGUCUGCUGAGCAGCAAAUCCUUCAGCAUCUGUCAGUCAUCUCUCCUUACUGUCUGGACCCAUGAUCAGUUAAAUCUGAUGGAUGCAGGGUUGCCAAGUCCGCGUUUUUUCCCCAUGGAAUUGGGCUACUGUUGCCAUAUUGAUUUCCUCUGUGGGUUAAAGGUUUGAAAUAAUGCAUAAAUUACAUUUGACUGAAAUGCUUGUAACAUUGAAACAUUUUGCAUUCUACCCAUGAUAAACUGUGGUAGAUGUUAAGUUUUGUGAAGGAUUGCCACUGGUAAGAAGCCUUUUAGCUUUAUGAUCAAUCUGCAUAACAGUGACUGUAAAAUAUGUAUUUUAGGUAUGGAAAUGACAUAUUUUGAGUUUGGAAAUUAUAUAACCCCCCUCAAACCCAACCACCAAUCACACAUCACACACCCCCACCGUCUGCUCCGGCCCCCACUGUCCUCUUUUUGGAAAACUGAAAUAUGGUCACCCUAUAUUAGAUGACCUACAAGACCUACAAGAAAAUCUUUCAAGAUAAUCUAUAUUGUUAAGAUUGCAUGCUUUAUACACAGCUUCUUGCUAAUAAUAAUGUCAAAUAUAUUUGAUAUUAUGCUCAAUGUUCAGAGUGUAAAAAUAUCCAUUUGUGUGCUAGAUUCACAGACUUUAUAUUUUAUGUAAAAUUCUACAAUUUUAUGUAAACCAAAUAUUACUUAACCACCAAGGACUGUUUAGAGUGUGACUUAUUUAAGACCAGCAUAAAUGCUGUCUAUAUCCACCCUCCCUUAGGUGUGAGAGUGAGAACUCAACCUGGCGUGCAGGCCCACGGCAUGCCCCUUGCCCUAGGUGUGUUUCUGCAGAAUCUGAGGUCUUGGGUCCUGCUUGACCUGGUCUGCAGGGAAGGCCUCUGUAAAGGCAGGUUGUACACCUCUAUCGGUACACUGAAGGGGUUUUCCUGCUCUGAUCUAUGAAUCUGCUUGUUACAAGCGGUAAUUGCUUCUUUAUUCAUAUCUCAAUUCCUUGUGUUCCAAAUCUAAAAGAUAGACCGGUCAUAAAGUAUGCUGGAAGAAUUAUCUGCCUGUUAUUUUUUGCAAAGCCUGUCCUGCAUGAUAAUGGAAUAAUUAGAAUUGAUUGUAAAUUCACAUUAUUUGUUAUUAAACAAUAUAAAAAUAAAGCUGUUUUGUGAUGAAAAAAAAAACACGAAUUUAGAGUUCCCACAAGUUGUCUGUCUUUCAAGCAUUUCAUUUGAGUUAAUCAUAGUAACACUGUAAGAACAUAAUUCAGCGUCUUUGGAACCUUAUGGUGGGUUUUGUUUCAUUGACACUAACUGCUGUUUGUGCUGUUUCUCCCACUGUUUCCCACUGUGUUCGAGUAUAUUCUCUGGCCAAUGGAGACAUGUCUGUCCAUCAUCCUCCUGCCUGCCUCUGCUUUCAAAGGGACGAGACCUCUUCAAGGCCCUUUAUCCAGGUCACUCCUAAAGGCAUGUUUAGAUCCAACACAAAGCAAAGAUCUGAUU